AUGCAUAGCCGAGUUGAGAGACUGAUCGGCCACAUUGGGACUGAGACACGGCCCAAACUCCUACGGGAGGCAGCAGUAGGGAAUCUUCCACAAUGGACGCAAGUCUGAUGGAGCAACGCCGCGUGAG
rnacentral:rRNA from 1 species